rnacentral:rRNA from 1 species
UCGAGAAUCUUUCACAAUGGGGGCAACCCUGAUGGAGCGACGCCGCGUGGAGGACGAAGGUUUUCGGAUUGUAAACUCCUGUCACUGCAGAACAAGGGUAGGGGGAUUAAUACUCCUUCUAUUUGAUGGUAUGCGGAGAGGAAGGGACGGCUAACUCUGUGCCAGCAGCCGCGGUAAUACAGAGGUCCCGAGCGUUGUUCGGAUUCACUGGGCGUAAAGGGUGUGUAGGAGGCUGGGUAAGUCUGAUGUGAAAUCUCACCGCUCAACGGUGAAACUGCAUUGGAUACUGCCUGGCUAGAGAGCUUGAGGGGGAAUCGGAAUUCUUGGUGUAGCAGUGAAAUGCGUAGAUAUCAGGAGGAACACCAGUGGCGAAGGCGGAUUCCUGGAAAGCGUCUGACUCUGAAACACGAAAGCCAGGGGAGCAAACGG